rnacentral:rRNA from 1 species
GAUGAACGCUGGCGGCGUGCUUAACACAUGCAAGUCGAACGAACGACUAUUAACAGAACCUUUCGGGGCGAAGAUGAUAGAAGUUAGUGGCGGACGGGUGCGUAACGCGUGGGUAAUCUGCCUUUGUCAAAGGAAUAACUAUUCGAAAGAAUAGCUAAAACCGUAUAACAUAUUAAUAGGGCAUCCUAAUAAUAUCAAAACGAUAGUGGACAAAGAUGAGCCCGCGUCUGAUUAGCUAGUUGGUGAGAUAAAAGCCCACCAAGGCAACGAUCAGUAGCCGACCUGAGAGGGUGAACGGCCACAUUGGAACUGAGACACGGUCCAAACUCCUACGGGAGGCAGCAGUGGGGAAUAUUGCACAAUGGGGGGAACCCUGAUGCAGCAACGCCGCGUGAGUGAAGAAGGCAUUCGUGUCGUAAAACUCUGUAGUAGGGGAAGAAAGAA